rnacentral:lncRNA from 1 species
UUACUGGUUUUAACUUCAGCUCCAUUAUCCCAAAUAUUUAUUUCAUGAACUCAUGCACUUAACAAAUAUUAAAUAUCUACCAAGAGCCGAGCUGAAAAAAUACUAUUACCUUGCUCAGGAGCUGGGAGAAAGGAAUUAGAAUGAAAACUAAAAACUGCUUCAGGAGUAACAGAGGAGGGAAGAGAGGGAAGAGCUCCUUGCAGUCAGAGAACAUCAGGGGAAUUUUGAGGAAGCCCCGAAGAAUGAGUUGAGUCUUGAAUGACAGAGACGAUCUACAAACAAAAAGGAGAUGGACAGGAGGAGAUCUCAGCUACUAACACUGAAUCUUGAGAGGAGCAGUUCCUUCCUCUGCUCUCAUCAAGACCAUCUUUGAAGAGCUUCAGAGAUACACCUGCUAAGAGAGACUGAUGGAAUUCUAUUCAAUUAUUUCCUUUGUCCACCCUUUUCUGCUUCCUUCCUCCUGAGAAGGGAGAAUCACUGACAUGGCAUUUGGAUAAAAAUGGGGAACAGGACAGGAGAAGGAGAAACAAAAACAGAUACAUAAGGAGAAAUCAAGAAAAAAACGACCAAGAAACAGAAAGAGUGAGGAAGAGAGCAAGAAAGAGGCUAGUAGAGAAAAGAUGGCAUGGCCAAGCCAAUCUAUAUUCAUGGACAAUCACAGAGGAGAGGAGAAAGCAGUUACAUGGGUGCUGACAAUUUGGGGGAUAACUUUUCCAUUUCUUCAUUGUGUUUUUUUGUUUCAAACACCAUGCAGAGCCUGAGACCAGUGGGCUCUUGGGAUUGAGCAGGGUAAUAGUAUCUUAAAUACAAACACAUGACUCUCUUCAGGCUGAACUGUGCUGAAUGGGCAGGUUGUAAGAGAUUUCUCUUGCAGCGGGUGGUCAAAAGUCUCCUGGAACAUCCCACAUGGAGAAAGUGACUUGGGCAAGACCACACAGCCAGAAAGCAGCAGAGUUGGGACCUCACCUUGGUCUGUGUGAUGCAGAAUUCUGUGUUUCCACCUCCUUAUACUUCCUGAAACGAUCGUAUCACUCAGGAAAAUAACAGUUGCCUCAUGCUUAGUUGGCCUGAAAACUACUGAUUUCAGUGGGCAGAGAGGGGAUGUCCUUGGAUUCAGUCCUCAGGACCAUGGUCCCUGCUGAACACAGAAAGCUUUAAUUCACAUAAAGCUCACACAGCAGAGCCUGGGACACAGUACUCUAUAGAACUGCUAUCAAUAACAAUAGCGGUAAUAAAAACAACACUAAUAACUGUAUAUAGUAAUAAUAAUAAUUGCAGGUAACAGACUUCAAGAUGGUGCCCCACAAUCUCUGCCUCCUGAUGUUCACACAUUUGUAUGACUCCCUCCUCUUCAGUGUGGGCAAGUCCUGUAAUUUGCUUCUAACCAAUAAAAUAUAGCGAAGGUGAUUGGAUGCUGCUCUUUUACGUAUUUAUUUAUUUGAGACGGAGCCUCACUCUGUCGCCCAGGCUGGAGUGCAGCGGCGCAAUCUCGGCUCACUGCAACCUCUGUGUCCUGG